UUUGAUUAGUCAUACACACGAUUUGGGGUCCAAACGAGUCAGGAAUGAGUAUUUCUUAUUGGGCCGUUAGAUUUGCAUUAGGGUAUAGGAGGCAACCAUCGUUUCUUGUUAUCUUGGGUAUCACAUGAGCCUUCCCUACCCAGCCGUCAUGUCCCUCCGUUCCCUGAUCUAUCUAAACAAAUGAAGAAGAAGAGAAGGGGCCUGCUCCUGUCGCUAGAUCUGGUCUGCCCAACAAAAACCGAAGUCUGGAGGAGUGGCCAACCCUCAUAUUGCUGCUCCUUGUUCUUAUAUUCGAAUUGUGCUGCAGCUUGGCUUUGGAAAAGCUAGGUGAAAAUAAGGAGAGAAGGGAGGAGGUCGUGGUCUCCUUGAGUCUUUUCAGGUGUGCUAAUUGGAUAUGUCUGCUCGAGGGAUGGGAGUAGCUGCACUUCACACACAUAGAUGACACUUUAACCGACGUUUGGCUUGCUACUAAUUUAAGUGAAUGGAAGAGAAGUCUUUAACUAGCUUGUUUUACCUUUUUUUUAAUUAGUGCUUUUGCUUUGUCUUAGAGGUGAUGUGUCAAAAUUCAAUCUAUUUUGGCAUAACAGUGUAGUUCUAGUAGCACCCUAGAGUUGUUUUCUUAAUAACUGUGGGGAGUUUUCAUCUUCUCAAUAUAGUAUGAAUUUUCGGGGUGUUAUAAUCC